UCGAGGGAAUUACUCGAGGGAUUUUAUAUCUUCAUCAAGAUUCACGGCUCACAAUCAUACAUCGUGACCUCAAAGCGAGUAACAUUCUCUUAGAUGCAGAUAUGAACCCGAAAAUCGCAGAUUUUGGAAUGGCAAGGAAUUUCAGAGUGGACCAGACUGAAGACAAUACAGGAAGAGUAGUUGGAACAUUGUAAAUAAUCGUCCAUUUCACUAACAUUCUGUCUGUCCUUUUUUUUUUCCUGAUAAAACUAAAAGUGAUAUGUGCUGUGUUUUGCAGUGGUUACAUGCCUCCCGAGUAUGUGGCGAAUGGGCAGUUCUCGAUGAAAUCUGAUGUUUAUAGUUUCGGAGUAUUGAUUCUGGAGAUAAUUGUUUGCAAAAAGAGCAGUAGCUUCCACCAGAUAGAUAGUUCAGUAGGCAACCUGGUCACAUAUGUUAGUACUAAAAAGCCAAUGCAAGCUCCAACUUCUUUUUACUCUUUUAAACUGUGACCAUGGCCCUAAACUUUGGUUUCUUGAUAAAUGACUUACAGGUUUGGAGGCUUUGGAACAAUGGAUUAUCGUUGGAACUCAUAGACCCGGCCAUAGGGGAGAAUUAUGAUAAAGAUGAAGUCAUUAGAUGCAUCCACAUCGGGUUAUUGUGCGUUCAAGAAAAUCCUGCAGAUCGUCCAACCAUGUCCAAUGUUUUCCAGAUGCUCACUAAUAAUUCAAUCACUCUGCCCGUUCCUCAAACACCUGGAUUUGUCUUCACGGUCAGAUCCGAGCCAAACCCAUUAGCUGAGAGAUAUCAGCCUCGUUCGUCUACUGCCAUUUCGUUUGCUUGUUCCAUUGAUGAUGCAUCGAUCACGAGCGUCAAUCCUCGUUGAAAUUAGAGGUUAAUGAUAAUAUGUAGAUGAUCCUUUCGCAAGCCAAAACUCUAAAUAGUCACUCAUAAUUAAUGUGCAUAAAAAAUCACGUUUUGAUGAAAUUGACAAGAGCAACAAUUACUACAUGACGCGCACACAUUCUCUGAAUCAUCUAAAGAAAAGAAAAAAUAGGGAAAGAAGAGAAACUCUGUUUUUUUUUUUUUUUUUUUUUUUUUUUUUUUUUUUUUUUGGAGCCAUUUCUGUUUCUAUACAACAUUGUGGAACACUACAAAAUGGUCAGAGUCUAUAGCAUGGUGAUGCUUCUAUAAACCCUAUAACCCCUUCAUAUCUUGUGUGACUACGAUAUGCUUUGUGAGUUCUAUAAAAUGGUGUACAUUUUUCGGUUACUUUUUGGGUUUCGUUUAACAUGGGAUAGGUUAUCACCCUGGGAACGUGCUACACAAGUAACUGGAUCCAAAAAAUCAUAGGAGACUUGGGAGUUUUUGGGUUCAACGGUUAAAACAUAUGGUUACGAAUGAUGAUGAAAUUCAACGUUUGCCAUUAUCCCAAAACCAUUGACUUUUGUCGCGGGCCCGUUUCACGCCGUAUAUGUUCAACAUGGUUUAAGGACCACAGUUAUCAGUUUUGCGAAUUCAACAUUUUGAAAAUUGCAGAGAAACUUCUAUUUCUUUUUUAGUAAGUAAGAUUUUGAAACAAAAAACGCGUAAACACAAAAGACAAAGAAUUAGCGAUUUAAAAAAAAGAAAAUAAGAAUUGGGGAUAAUGUUUUAAGGGAAUAAGACUAUGUGAUGAACGCUUAAUUGUAUCUAAAUCAUUACCUGUAAAGUUCAUUAUUCAGGUCUUAUGGGCGAAUGGAGAUGGUGUGCUAGGUUUAUAAUAGGACCUAAGAAAACUUAGAGCUCACGAAACUAAGGACUCUGAAAGAAAAAGAAAAAAGAAAAAAGAAACCAAGGACUCAUCAGGAACUGGUGGUUUUAAGGGAUUUUUCUAGGGUUUUGCUACGCAAUUUCGUUUUGUUAAAUUUGGGCUAAUUCUGGGCUUCCAACUAAAAACCAAUUGGCAAUUAGUGGAUUGGCCCUAACCCUUUAUAUAUUAUUGGUUGUCCCAUCAAACUUCCGAUGUGGGACUUGGAUUGUAUCUCCAACAAUCUCCCCUUCAAUCCAAGGACCAUAUGGAUCUAACACGCCUCAUCGAUCCCUCACUCGGAUCGAUAAUAAGCCCCUUUCUCGGACUCCCAUUACUCGGGUUUGAGGUAUGUCCGUAUCCACUUUUCUAGGUCCACCAGAAUUUGAACCUUGGGCUCUGAUACCAUGUUAAAUUUGGGCUAAUUCUGGGCUUCCAACUAAAAACCAAUUGGCAAUUAGUGGAUUGGCCCUAACCCUUUAUAUAUUAUUGGUUGUCCCAUCAAACUUCCGAUGUGAGACUUGGAUUGUAUCUCCAACACGUUUGUAGCCUUAUGGCAUUUGCGACGUGUUUUGAUUGCUUUUUGGUUUUAUAGGUAAGAAAUUGAUUAUGAAAAAGCUAAGUAAUUUGUCCGCGGAUGAGUGUUAAUGGUACCUCGCCCCCAGCCUACUGGCCUAGUGCAUAUCUACAUUAUUAUUUGAAGGAUAUAAACAUAAUAAUACUGUAUGAACAGAAAAAAAAUGAAUUAUGACUUAAGAUUUUCAUCUUUUGUUUUGUGACAUUUUGAAAGUUUCCGAGAAACAACAAUUGCUGCUUAAAUUGGUAAGACAUGAACAGAGGUUUACACACUAAAACAAAGCUAAAAUCUUUAAGGCAAAAUGAAGCAGAGGAGUUUCUUAUCAAUCCUCUGUUUUGUCCUUCUAACCUUUGGUGUUGCUUCUGUUUCAGCACAAACAUGCAUACAGAACCGUAAAUAUUUCAUACCCAACGGUACAUACGAUUCAAAUCGUCUUCUUCUCCUCUCUACUCUUCCUAACAAUACCGCGUCUCAAGAUGGUUUCUACUACGGUUCUAUUGGAGAAGAGCAGGAUCGAGUCUACGCAUUAGGGAUGUGCAUCCCAAGAUCAACUCCAAGUGACUGUUCUAAUUGUAUCAAGGGCGCGGCAGGCUGGUUGAUACAGGAUUGUGUCAACCAGACAGACGCGUAUUAUUGGGCACUUGAUCCAACGCUUUGCCUUGUCCGCUACUCCAACAUUUCUUUCUCAGGAUCUGCAGCUUUUUGGGAAACUACACCGCAGUAUUUGGUCUUGAACACUGCAACUAUCGCCUCAGAUCUAACAGAGUUCAAGACAAUAUGGGAAGACUUAACAUCUCGUAUGAUUACUGCAGCCUCCGCAGCAAGAAGAACACCAUCAUCCAGUGACAACCAUUACAGAGUUGAUUUUGCGAACUUGACAAAAUUCCAGAAUAUAUAUGCAUUAAUGCAAUGCACGCCAGAUAUUUCUUCUGACGAAUGUAACAGCUGUCUCCAACAAGGCGUACUUGAGUACCAGUCAUGCUGUGGAAAUAAUACAGGAGGCUAUGUUAUGCGGCCAAUCUGCUUUUUUCGGUGGCAGCUUUUUACAUUCUCUAAGGCUUUUGAUAACAUUACCCUGGCUACUCCUCCUUCUCCUCCUCUUUCUCCUCCUCCACUGCAACGUCCUGUGGUUGCGUCACAACCACCUUCUGCCAAGGACCGGCCCAAGACUACAGACAAUAGUAAGUCCAUGCAAAGUUAUGACUUGUUCAAAGAUUCUGCAGGGAGAGGAAAUAUCUCAAUGAAAACUAUUGUAGCAAUUGUUGUGGUUGUUUUAGUCAUUGUCAUCAUCUUGGCACUUCUCGCUUGCCGGUUUGCUCGGAAAGGAAAACCAUAUCAAGAAGUUGAACUUAAUCAAAGUGAGUGUUGUUCAUUUGAUUUUAUUUGGCCUUUUAGCAAAUAUAUAGUAUAUAGAACUAUAACUAAGACAAUUUAUUACACUGUAGCUGGUAUUACAACUGUACGGUCCCUGCAAUAUAAAUUUAAGACGAUCAAAUCUGCAACAAAGAAAUUUUCAGACAAAAUCGGCCAAGGUGGAUUUGGAAGUGUUUUCAAGGUAUCAUUUCUUUAGCCACGAACUAAGUUCAUGACUUCUCUUGAAAAAAAAAAGGAAUUACAGAGUCAAAGUAAUCUAAAAAUUGAACUUACAGAGCCAUGUUGACGCAUUGAUGUUAUUUGUAGGGUAUGUUGCCUGAUGGAAAAGAAAUUGCAGUGAAGAGGUUGUCAAAAUCAUCAGAACAAGGUGAGAAAGAGUUCAAGAACGAGGUUGUUGUUGUCGCCAAACUUCAGCAUAGAAAUCUUGUUAGACUUCUCGGUUUUUCUGUCAAAGGAGAAGAAAAGAUACUAGUGUACGAGUUUGUGCCCAACAAAAGUCUUGAUUGUUUCCUUUCUGGUAAGCUUACAUUUUCUAAAACCUUUGUUCUUAAUCUUAUAGUCUAAUGGGUCUAUAUGAAAUUUGCAGACCCUAUAAAGCAAAGAGAGUUAGACUGGACAAAGCGGUAUAUGAUCAUUGGAGGAAUUGCUAAAGGGAUUCAAUAUCUUCAUCAUGGUUCACGGAUCAAAAUCAUACAUCGUGACCUCAAAGCAGAAAACAUACUCUUGGAUGGUGAUAUGAACCCGAAGAUUUCUGAUUUUGGAAUGGCAAGGAUCUUUGGGAUGGAUCAAACUAGAGCUAACACAAGAAGGAUUGUUGGAACUGAGUAAAAUGCUUUUAUUACCCUUGAUAGCUUAUGAACUGAAGUUUCAAGAAUCUUUUCUUCACCAAUGUUACAAUUAAUCUUGCAGAGGUUAUAUGCCCCCAGAGUAUAGGAUCGACGGGCAAUUCUCAAUGAAAUCUGAUGUGUAUAGCUAUGGAGUCUUAGUUCUUGAGAUUAUAUGCGGCAAGAAGAACAGGAACUUCUGCCCUCCGGCUCCAAAUUUGGUCACAUACGUGAGUACCAAGAAAAAAUCAAAUCUUAGAGUAUGAUCCUAUCUAGUUGUUGGUUGAUGAUUAAUUUAUGUUACAGGCUUGGAGGUUAUGGAGAGACGGGGCACCAUUAGAACUCGUGGAUCCAAUCAUUUCAGAGAAUUGUCCAACCGAAGAAGUGAUAAGAUGCAUCCACAUUGCGCUCUUAUGUGUUCAAGAAAAUCCUACAGAUCGUCCCGACAUUUCGAUAAUCAUGUCGAUGCUCACUAGCAAUUCCGUCAUCUUACCUGUUCCUGAACCACCUGGAUUCUUCAUUUCAAAUACACAAUACCAAUCUACGAGGAGGUCCAAUUCCCAAACUAUCAAUGAUGAAACUUGAUCCUCGCUGAAGAUGAUGUUCCAUUGAAACAUUGAAACUGUUGUAAGUAAACUAUAUUUUCUGGUAUUUCAGUUUGAACUGUAAUGAAUUAUUCAAAAGUUAUGUAUGUGUAAAUUGUGAGAUACUCAUCAAAGUAGUUAUGUACACUUUUAGCAUUUUCUAUUUUUUACAUUCUUAUACCAGCUCUUUGUUAUAAAAUCCUUGUAUGAAUUUUAUCAAUUUACUUACUUAACCGGUCCUCUCUAGCCGGGGCUCACUCAAUUUGAUGCUUAUCUUGGUUAUAAAAUCCGUAGAUAGUUGCUCAAACAUUGCCUUCAAUCACUUUGAUGCUCACUAGUAACACAAUUACUCUACCAAUGCCUCAAAAACCAGAGACCUGAUCAAGACUUUGUAGCCUGUCCUACUCUGUUAUACUCUGUUCUUAAUUAACUCAAGUUUUAGAACAAAAAAAAUUGUUUCAAAAAGAUUUUCUAAAACUUGAAUUAUAAAAUAAAAUAUUAAAAUCCUCUAAACUGUUUUUUUUUUUUUUUUUUUUACCUGUAUCAAUAUACCAAUCCAAACCGGUUUAUUUAGUUAACCGGUCGUCGACGUCUUCUUCAGCCGGGGCUGGAACGCGUUUUGGGAAUUUUUUCAUUAAGGGUUUCGCUUUCAGAUUUAGUGGCGAUCUAAAGUUGAUGGCUUUUCGAUUCCAACUAUAUUUAUGGGAAUUAGGGUUUCAUCUGUUAGUUAUAUGCUUGCAAUUGACGAUUUGUUGCUGAUUACUCUGUUUCAUCGAAUCAAAAUUCUCCAACUUUCCUUUUUUCGGAAUCAUGUUCUUCUUGUCUUGUUCUUGUCUGAUAUCGUCUAAAUAUUCUUUACAUGAAUUAUUUAUUCAAAGACUUUUCGACGAUAAUGCCAGUGGCAAUCGUUUAGUAGUUAAUGUAAUAGACAGGACCAGUGAUGGGUCAAUAUCAUUCCUUUCGGUCCCAUUGCAAUUUGCAGAUUAAUGUCAAUAAUGCUACUAAUGUGCAAUCCUCUCUGUCAAAAAUUGGAACUUUAUGAGUGAAGUCAUUAUAAAGUGACAAUGGACUCACAUGUAUGCAGACAGAUCCUCCAAAUCUUCGAAAAUGAAACAGAUGAGUCUCUUGUGGUUUGUUCUUGUUAGCUUUAGUGUUGCUUCUGCACAACCAUGCGUGAACAACGGGUUUUUUAGACCCAAUAGUACAUAUGACAUUAACCGUGCUCUCGUCCUCUCUACUCUUGCUUCAAAUGUCAGGGCUCGUAACGGUUUCUAUAAUGCAUCGAUUGGCCAAGAACUUGAUCGAGUGUAUGGAGUGGGGAUGUGUAUCCCUGGCGCUGAACCAGAGCUGUGCUUAGAUUGUAUCGAGAAGGCGUCUGACGGGUUAUUACAGAGCUGUCCUAACCAAACAGAAGCCUUUACAUGGUCUGGUGGAGGUAAAACUCUUUGUAUGGUACGUUACUCCAACCGUUCAUUAUCUGGAUCACUUGAUAUGGACCCUCCUUCAAAAGGGUACAAUGAUGGGGAUAUCAAAUCUAAUGUAACAGAGUUUAAUAGAAUUUGGGAAGAGUUAACGCUUAGAAUGAUAGUCGAGGCUUCUACAGGCAAGGAUGCAUCAAUAUUGUCUAAUCAUAAGUACUAUGCAGCCGACAUAGCAGCGUUGACAGCUUUCCAGAAUAUAUACGCAUUAAUGCAAUGCACACCGGAUUUAUCUUCGACAAACUGUAAAACCUGUCUGUUGAAAAGUGUUGGUGACUAUCAAACCUGCUGCCAUGGGAAGCAAGGUGGAUAUGUAUUUAGGCCAAGCUGUAUUUUCCGGUGGGAUCUGUAUCCCUUUAACGGGGCUUUUGAUCAUAUUACAUCGACAGCGCCACCAUCAUCUCGUCCAGCACCUCCGCCUCAAGUGCCAGCUUCUAUGGAACUUACUAAAACCCAUAAAGGUAAAUACUUCAAUACCAAACUUUGAUUGCAAGAAACUGUCAGAACAUAAAGUUUGUCUAGUGUACUAAAAGUUGGCCCCAAGAUUUGAAGAUGAGACGGUUUCAGAACAAUAUGCUUUUUUGUUUUUCUCAGCGUGUAAAUUGUCUUCUAUGUUUGGCUUCCACAGAUAAUAAAACAAUCUCAAAAGGAGUCGUCAUGGCAAUUGUUGUUCCGGCUGUAAUUACCUUCUUGGUAUUGGCUGCUCUAGGAUUUGCUGUUUGCGGGAGGAGGAAGUCAUACCAAUCACUUGAUCGUCAGAGUGAGUUGUUUCACACGUUUUUCAUCAUUUACUUUAUCCUUUUUUCCAGAUAUAUAUGGUCUGCGUUUGCAGAUUCUUGGUGGAUUUUAAAGUGAAAAGACCUAUACGUUCCUGUAUGCAGCUGGCAUUGAUAUUACAACUACACAUUCACUGCAAUUUGAUUUGAAGACAAUCGAAGCUGCAACAGAUAAGUUUUCAGAGAGGAACAAGAUUGGUCAGGGUGGAUUUGGAGAAGUUUUCAAGGUAUAUUUUCUUAGACUUUCUGCUUUCUUUAAUCUCCUAGAGAGUUUGGAUAACACAUCCAAGUGAAGUUAUAUUCUUUGUAGGGUGUGCUUCCAGACGGGACAGAAGUUGCUGUGAAAAGGCUGUCAAAAACAUCGAGUCAAGGCGCACGAGAGUUCAAGAACGAGGCUGUUCUGGUGGCAAAGCUUCAGCACAGAAACCUGGUUAGGCUGCUUGGUUUUUGUUUGGAAGGAGAAGAGAAGAUACUUGUCUACGAGUUUGUACCUAACAAAAGCCUCGACUACUUCCUGUUUGGUGAGUCCAAUUUAAUACAUAUAUUGGGAGAAUCAUAAUGAUCCCUCAUAAUUAACUUGUGUUUCAAAUGAUUUUAUAUUUACAUACAGAUCUUUCAAAACAAGGCCAGUUGGACUGGAAAACACGUUACAAUAUCAUUGGCGGGAUUGCUCGUGGAAUUCUCUAUCUUCAUCAAGAUUCACGACUCACAAUCAUACACCGCGACCUCAAAGCGAGUAACAUUCUCUUAGAUGCUGAUAUGAACCCAAAAAUUGCUGACUUUGGAAUUGCAAGGCUUUUUGAGAUGGACCAAACUCAAGCUGAAACGAGCAGGAUAGUUGGAACCUAGUAAAAAAAUUUCCCUUGUCUGCAUUUAUAACUGAAGUUUGAAUUGCAAUAAUUUUAGGAUGGACAAUACUCUUGUUGUGGGUGAAGUUAUGUUUUUUUUUUUUUUUCUUGUUCUGCCAGUGGUUAUAUGCCUCCAGAGUAUGCAAUGAAAGGUCAUUUCUCUGUGAAGUCUGAUGUCUACAGCUUUGGAGUCUUAGUUCUUGAGAUUAUAGCCGGCAAGAAGAACAAUGGCUUGGACCAGGACGGCAAUGCUAGAAACUUGGUCACAUAUGUGAUUACCGAAAACCAAAUUUCAAAAUUUCUAACUUACUGUGAGGAUUGUGAGCGGUAAUGGAUUUUGGUUAUUAUGUUAGGUCUGGAGGCUUUGGAGAGAGGGUUCACCAUCAGAGCUCGUGGAUCAGUCGGUUGGAGAGAAUUAUGACAGCAACGAAGUUACAAGAUGCAUCCAUACCGCGCUGUUGUGUGUUCAAGAAGAUCCUGCAGAUCGUCCUACCUUGCCUUCAAUUAUCUUGAUGCUCAGUAGUAACACGAUUACUCUACCAGUGCCUCGACAACCUGGAUUUUACUUCCAGAGUAGACGUGAUGAUUUUGAGGGAUUAGAACCAAGUCAAUCUACAGGAAGAUCGAUUCCUUAUUCUGUGUCGAUAACUGAUUUAGAUCCUCGUUGAAGAUGGAAGCAUUCUCUGUGUGUAAGUUUUGAGUGAUGCUUCUACAGUAAUAUCUUAUUUUGUGUGAGACUUGAAUAUUCAUGUGAGUUGUGUGAGAACUUCUGUUUAUACUGUAUCUACCUAUUUGAUGUGACUUGAAUAUGCAUCUUAAGUUCUGUUUUACUACACUUUUGCUGAAAUCAGACGGUUAGUUUAAUAUCUACCUGUGUUAAAUAAACCGUAAACCAAAGGUACGUAUUAACUGAUGAUCUUACCCUCGCUCUGAAUCAGCGUUUUGGCGCAUUCUCUUUUUUUUUUUUUUCUUGUUCUAACUUGUUUACUACGCCUAGACUAAACAGAAUUUGCACACUGCAAAAGACUUUGCCUUUUGACUCUCCUUUGACUACCGUAUAAGCAGGUUUAAGAACCAUUUUUAUCAGUUUGACGAAUUCAACAUUAGGAUAUAUCAGAGAAGCUAUAAAUGCUGUUUAAAUAACCAAUACAAAACUAUAAUCUUUAGAGAACAACGAAGCAGAGCUGCAGAGGAGGACUUUGUUUUCAAUCCUCUGUUUUAUCCUCAUAAGUUUUGGUGUUGCUUCAGUUUUAACACAAAACAUGCAUGAACAUUAGUACUCUCAGACUCAACGGUCAUAAAUAUUUAUGACGCAGAUCGCCGGAUCAUUGAGCAGAUUGCAAAUAAACUUAAGAAUAGUUUUAACUUAAUAAACUAUGAAUGCACAAAUUUUUAUGUCAACAAUUCAUUGCAACAUGAUUGAAGUUGAAGCUGCAACAAACAGAUUUCAAGGUGAAGGUGGAUUCGGCGAGGUUUACUAGAAAAUUAACUAAGUUUCUAUUUAUAGGUUAUGAAUAUACAUGUAAAACUCGGUAAAUUAGACGGAUUCGGUUUGCAUUUACCGGUAUACGAAUGUUUGUUUACCCAAACCGGUUGAUUUACUAAACCGAUACCAUAUGAACCGGAUUACCGACCGAAAAAAAGUAACUAAGCUCAUCGCCUUUGUGCAUUCCCCUGAGCUCGGGAUUCAGAGUUUAGCAUUCAGGUUUUAAUGGCGUUUUAUGAUAUUGGUUUUCGGAUUUGUUUGUGCUCUUCUGUUGUUAGAUUUUCGAUGUGUUUAAUGGCAUAAUCACGAUAUGGCUGUGCUCGGAUUUAGGGUUUAACUGUGUUUUCCGUCUCCGAGGCUUUUAGUCGGUAUCAUGUUGGCACUUCCGGCUCAAUCCCCAUUGAUUAUCACACCUCCGGCAAGCAACAAUACCAUUACAAAGAAAAACAAAGGUCAGUCUUCCAAUUGCAAAACUAUAAUAAUUACUUGUCUACAGUAUCUAAAGAAGGCUUUUAACAAACAGUGAAUGAACUAUGUAUCUUGUGCAACAUUCUGAAAAUCGAUUUUUGAGGGGAUCUUGAAAAGAAUUGGUUGAUUUACACAAUCCGAUGGCUGUCUUGAAAAGAAGCAUAUCAGAUAAAGCUGAGCUGGGGAUGGCAGGGAAUAUAUUGAAUUCUAUUUGGAAUCAAUUGUUGCUGUUGUUGCUCACACUAGUGGCUCUUUGCUACUCUGUUUCAGCCAAUUACAACAUGUUCUUCUGGGUUCGGCGUGAUUCAUAUGUACGCACGCAUUCUUACAUGAAUCAACCCAAGAGACACUGAUUAGGCUAUCAAUUGGGCAAACAGGUCUAAGCUAGAACAACAAAAAGCCGGUUUAUUUGUGACACUGACACUUUAGCCCCAAUACUUUUCUGGUUCGAUGAAUACUCUUUCCUUAUGUCAUUUUCUGAGUCAACAUUCCAAUAUUCAACAACCCUUGUUAUAUAUUACGUGAACAAAGAAACUAUUAUUGACUUUUAACUUUGACUUUUGACACGUAUUUGUGACCAUAUUUGUAGGUUUAAGGACCACUGUCAUCAAUUUGACGAAUUCAAUUUUGGAGAGAAGCUUCGAUUUUGCUUGUUUAAACUGGUAAGAAACGUACAUAUGCGUCAAACACUAAACACAGAGAUUUUUCUUUUGCUAUAAUCUUGAAGAAACAAUGAAUCAGAGGAGGACUUUGUUUUCAAUCCUCUGUUUUUUCCUCAUAAGCUUCGGUGUUGCUUCAGUUUCAGCACAAACAUGCACGACGGACAAGGGGACUUUCAGACCCAACAGUACUUACGACGUAAAUCGCCGUCUCAUCCUUUCUUCUCUUCCUUCAAAUGUCACGGAUCAAGACGGCUUAUACUACAACGGUUCCAUAGGACAAGAACCGAACCGUGUCUACGCAGUUGGGAUGUGCAUCCCGGGAUCAACUUCAGAUGACUGUUCUGAUUGUAUCAAGAAAGCGUCUGAUGAAUUUUUAAAUAAUUGUCCUAACCAAACAGAAGCGUAUUCAUGGCCAGGUGAGCCAACGCUUUGCUAUGUGCGGUACUCCAACACUUCUUUCUCAGGAUCUGCAGAUCUGGACCCGCGCGUACUGCUCUUCAACACUGGAGUUAUACGCUCAAAUCUAACAGAGUUCACGGCAAUUUGGGAAGGACUAAUGGGUCGUAUGAUUGCUACAGCCUCCACAGCAAAAAGCACACCAUCGUCUAGUAAUAACCAUUACUCAGCUGAAGUUGCAGCCUUGACAACUUUCGAGGAUAUGUACGCAUUGAUGCAAUGCACGCCAGAUCUUUCUAUUCGUGAUUGUGAAAAUUGUCUGCAGCGAAGCGCAGGUGACUACCAGUCAUGCUGUAGUCAAAAUCGAGGAGGUGUUGUUAUGAGACCAAGCUGCUUUUUGCGCUGGGAUUUGUAUACAUAUUCUAACGCUUUUGAUAAUAUUACGGUAGCUUCUCCACCUCCGGAACCUCCUGUGACUGUGCCACAAGGCCCCCAACCUGCAGGUGAUCAAGCCAACACGACCGACAAUGGUUAGUCUUCCAACUGGAAAAAAAAACUAUGAUUGUAAGUAGAAUUGAAAUAUAUGACAUUGUUUUCUUGUUUUAUGAGAAGAUAGCAAAGGAAUCUCAGCUGGAGUUGUUGUGGCGAUUAUCGUUCCCACUGUUAUUGUCAUCUUGAUACUGCUGGUUUUAGGAUUUGUUCUUUUCCGAAGAAGAAAAUCCUACCAAAGAACUGAGAUUGAAUGUUAGUUUCUUUGUGUUUUACCUCUUUAUUCUUUCCUUUUGUUAUCAGCAUGUAUACUCCCGUAGCCAAGAGGGGAAACAUGAAACUAAUACACCCAUUCUUUGCAGCUGAAAGUGAUAUUUCAACUACCGAUUCAUUGGUAUACGAUUUUAAGACAAUUGAAGCUGCAACUAACAAGUUUUCAACAAGUAAUAAGCUUGGUGAAGGUGGAUUCGGUGCGGUUUACAUGGUAAGAAAGUCUCUGUUUCCCAUUUUUUUAAAGUUCAUAUUGGUUAUGAAAAUAACCAACGAUGUUUGUUUCAUUCAAUCGUACGUAGGGUAAGCUUUCUAACGGAACUGAAGUAGCUGUGAAGCGACUGUCGAAAAAGUCAGGACAAGGCACAAGGGAGUUCAGGAACGAGGCUGUUCUUGUGUCAAAACUUCAACAUAGGAAUCUGGUUAGACUUCUUGGAUUCUGUUUGGAAAGAGAGGAACAGAUUCUGAUCUAUGAAUUUGUCCACAACAAAAGCCUUGACUACUUUCUAUUCGGUAUGGUUCCCGUCAAUAGUUUUUCUUAUUCAAAGGAUCCUUCUUCAGCUUUAUACUGAUUGAUUGUCGAUAUGUGCAGACCCGGAAAAGCAAAGUCAGCUAGACUGGACCCGGCGAUACAAGAUCAUUGGAGGAAUUGCUCGAGGGAUUCUAUAUCUUCAUCAAGAUUCACGGCUCAAAAUCAUACAUCGUGACCUCAAAGCCAGCAACAUUCUCUUAGAUGCGGAUAUGAACCCGAAAAUUGCAGAUUUUGGAUUGGCAACUAUUUUUGGAAUGGACCAAACUCAAGGAAACACCAACAGAAUUGCUGGAACCUAGUAAGUUCUGCUCAUAGUAGCUGAAAAAUAAGCAAAGUUCACUGAACCUUCUGCUAUUGCAUAUUAACGAGUUGAAUGUUUUUCAGCGCUUACAUGUCUCCUGAGUAUGCGAUGCAUGGUCAAUAUUCCAUGAAAUCUGACAUUUACAGCUUUGGAGUGUUAGUUCUUGAGAUUAUAAGCGGCAAGAAAAACAGCGGCGUCUACCAGAUGGAUGAAACUAGUACUGCAGGAAACUUGGUCACUUAUGUGAGCAUAAAGACCUCAAAUUUCAACAAUUUAACAUUUCAAAACAUAUGACCAAGGUUCUUAAUUGUUCAUUGUAUUAGGCUUCAAGGCUUUGGAUGAACAAGUCACCAUUAGAGCUGGUGGAUCCAACCUUUGGAAGGAAUUAUCAAAGUAAUGAAGUCACUAGAUGCAUCCAUAUCGCGCUCUUAUGUGUUCAAGAAAAUCCAGAAGACCGUCCAAUGUUAUCAACAAUCAUCUUAAUGCUCACUAGCAACACAAUCACUCUACCUGUGCCUCGCCUACCGGGAUUUUUCCCACGAAGCAGGCAACUGGAACUGGUAUCCGAGGGACCAGAGUCUGAUCAGUCUACAAGCAAAUCUUUUCCUCUUUUAGUUCGUAAAAAGUGAUGUGGUUGAAACACAUAACAAUGGUCAGAUGACGUUUGAUAUUUUUUAUUUACGGACAUAAGAAACAUAGUAAGUUUAUCUGUAAUUGUAUGUUGUACACUGUAAAAUGCUUAUGGCCAGUUCUGUAAUAAUCGUUUCUUUUUUACUGGUUUACUCUCUUCAAGCAAUCAAAUUCUCUGCGUGAUUGUUGUGAAAGCUUAAUUUGGAGGUUGUAAUUAUCUUAUACUUGCUUGUGGUUACAAUUACAAUACAAACGUUCUGCUACAAAAGAAGUUUUUAACUUAUUUUCAAUACCAAUAGAUUCAGGAAUCAGGUAUGAAGGUACUCAUCUUCAUCGAGGAUAUACAUCUGUGAUGGAUGCAUCGUCAACAGACCCUAGAAGAGAUUUGCUCGUUGUAUCUGUAUCAAGCGGGUCUUUUCCAAUUCUACUCUGAAAGAAAAGACCUGGUUGCCGUGGCACGGGUAAAGUCACAGUAUUACUAGUGAGCAUCAGAACAAUGGUUGACAACGUCGGACGCUCAGCAGGAUCUUCUUGAACACAUAAAAGACCGAUAUGGACACAUCGAACAACUUCACUCCUUUGGCAAUUAUCUACAAUAGCUGGAUCCACGAGUUCUAAUGGUCUUCCGUUACUCCAAAGCCCCCAAGCCUAGAAUAUUAUUCAAUCAAUCAAUCAAUCCAACACUUGCAACUAUGUUCAGGUAAACAUGGAACUUGAUUGGCACAAAACUUACAUAUGAGACCAAGUCAUGUGCACCGUCUGUUUGGUAGAAGCUGCUAUUCUUCUUGCCACUUAUAAUCUCAAGAACUAACACUCCGAAGCUAUAGACAUCAGAUUUCAUUGAGUACUGACCAUGCAUUGCAUACUCGGGAGACAUGUAACCACUGUAACCCACAACAAAAACUAUGUUAAUAAAAGAAUGUUCAGAAAAUUUCAACUUAUGAGGAAGACUUACUAGGUACCAACUAUUCUGCUUGUGUUCUCUUGGGUUUGGUCCAAUCCAAAGAUCCUAGCCAUUCCAAAAUCUGCAAUUUUAGGAUUCAUAUCCGCAUCCAAGAGAAUGUUACUGGCUUUGAGGUCCCGGUGUAUGAUUGUGAGUCGUGAAUCUUGAUGAAGAUACAAAAUCCCUCGAGCAACUCCACCAAUAAUCUUGUAUCGCCGAGUCCAAUCCAACUGACUCUGCUUUGCAGGGUCUGUACACAUCCAUAAAUCACAGUUAGCUCUAAAGACUUGUAAUCCCUAGUUUCAAGAUUGGUUAAAGAAUCAUUGAAACAAAGCAUUAAAUGCAACUAACCAAAGAGGAAGUAAUCCAGACUUUUGUUGGGUACAUACUCGUAGACUAAUACCCUUUCUUCUCCGUCUAGACAAAACCCGAGAAGUCUAACCAGAUUUCUAUGCUGUAGCUUUGCAACAAGAACAACCUCGUUCUUGAACUCUGCUUCACCUUGUCCUGAUAACUUUGAUAGUCUCUUCACCGCAACUUCAGUCCCAUCCGAUAAAGUACCCUGUUGUUUUCAUCAGCAUUAUCCCAUUAUACAUAUGUGUUCACACAAAGUUUCAAGAAGAAAAAAAACACAGCUCAAGGGAACUGUAAUUACCUUGUAAACCUCACCAAAUCCACCUUGACCAAUCUUAUUACUCUCUGCAAAAUCAUCUGUUGCAGUUUGAAUUUUUCUAUAAUCAAGCUGCAGUGAGUCUGCAGUUGUAAUAUCAUCUCCUGUUGCACAAUGAAAGUCUUAGAAGCAGGAAAAAGAAGCUGAGCUUUGACAUUAAUCAAAAUUCAAACCCAAAUAAAGAUCGUUCAUCACUUGAAAUCUUUACCAUCAAAUGCAGAUGUUGUGUCAUAAGUCUUCUUUGCCCUUUUUGCAAUGAAACAAUAACCAACGAUGAAAAGCAGAACAGCCACUAUAAUAGGCACAACAAUGGCUAUCACUAAUACAGUUGAAUUCCCACCUUUCCCUGCUUUCCAAAGAUCAUUUGCUUAAGAUCAGACAAUGACAAACGAAUAGCAAAUCCAAAUUAAGUCAAAAGAAGCAAAGUUGCCUUAUUAGUAUUGCUCAUAUCAAGAAAUCAGGGCAGAAAAACAGAGGAAGAGAUUAGAUCAUGUAAGACACAUAGCAGCAAGUUAGCAACGCGAAAUUCUGUCGAAAGAAUGAAUAUUUUUAUAUAUUUUUGUCAAUUUCGUUGAAUUACGGCAAAAGCUAACAGAGGAAAUGGACAGAGCACUGACCAGGUCGAGGAGGAGCAGACACCGGAGGAGUAGAAACCGGCGGUGGAGGUGGUGGUGAAGGUGUAGUAAUGGCGGAUUCGUUGUAAAACGCGUAAAGCUCGAAUCUUGAACUACAGCUCUGCAUCAUAAAUCUUCCCCCAAUUUUAUCAGUGGGCAAUUGAUUGAUGCUCUGUUGAAGACAACUCAAACAGUCUUGUCUCGUCAGAUCAGGAGUGCACUGAACCAGUCCGUACAAUUUCUGCAACGCAGUGAAGUUGGCUUUUCUGGCAUCAAAUUUUCUGGAAUUGCUGGCAGCUUCAGCGGCGGCUUGGUUCAUCGUGGUCCCGACCAAAUCUCUGAAUUGGUCUAGUUGGUUAGAUGUAACAUUCUGGGGGUUCCACAUAAACACUCCUCCACCGGUGCUUAGGGUUGAGAGUAUGUUCCCGUUAGAGUAUCUGAGCAUACACUGGUCGUAGUAGAUUGUGACCUCUUUCUCAUUCGAACACCGACUUAAGGUGUCGUUUACAGCAAAGGUGACGCAGCGACGACAAACUUCCGGCGAUAAGUCUCCACGGCAGAGGAAAAGCCCGGUGACUCUGUCGGGAGCUUGCCCUGCGGUGGCGUUUUGGAAACUGGUGGAGUAUGAAGCGUUACUGGAAGAGAGAGAAGCCAAAACGGUUCUGAGAUUGGUUAAGUAAGUGCUGUUUCUUGAAUACGUUGUCGUGUUCGGACAGAUUUGGUAUAGGAAAGUGUGAUCUUGAUCUUGAGCAGAAACUUUGAAGCUAGUGAGGAAGGAGAAGAGGAAGAUGAAAGAUAUAAGAGAAGACAUAACUGGGCUUUCUUGAUUUGUGUUUCUCAUCAAGCUUUUGGGAAGGAAACUCGGUUAUAUGAAAUAAAAUUGAAUUUUUGUUCUCGCUGUGACUAGUGUCUAGCGUGAAACAGAGGAUGGUUUUGUGACGACGAAAAGUCAAGGUCAAAGUAAACGCGUCUUGUAUUGAAUUGUCCUGUCCUGCCCAAUUUGUCUUCAGCUAGCUACUAAUCCAUUACUAAUUUUUAAGAGAUAAUUAGCUCAGAGAUAAGGGAUCUGAGCUUAAAUUAGUUUUUGAUAAAAUCUUGUCGGGACCUAAAACAAUUGCAACAUUAGUCCAUUAUCUUUCCGUUUUUAGCCUCACUCGCUAAGAGAAAUGCAACAGUUUUUUUUGUUUCUUUCGAGACGAAUAUGCGUGUAUAUGUAUAUUUGUCAAGCAUUUGUUGUUCUAUUAUAGAUAUACAUAGAUCUACUUAGAUCCACAUCUCUACUUUAUAGAUCUGUAUUUUGAUGUGCAUCUUUUUUUGUAGAUAUCUAUUUAUUUUCUUUUAUUCCCACUUGAUGUUGAUACAUAACUUACUGUUUAAUUUUUUUACUGUUUAGAAAUAUGGCUGAUCUGGAGCUUUUUUCCCGAUUGUUUGCCGAUAGAGAGGACCUCCUGGCGAUAGGGUGAAUAUGUACUUCAAGCUCAAUACGAUCAAGGUUGUGUUGAAAGCUCUUACACCUAAAGAGAAUGAAACCAUUAGGCCUUACUUUGGAAAACUUCUUGAUGUCUACUCCAAACUUGUCUUCUCUGGCAAAUUGGCUCACUUUCUGUUAAUCCGAUAGCUUAAUGUUGUCAAGCGACAAAAUUCAAAAGUUUUUCCAUGUACUUGUUUUCAUUCCAUUGCUUUCACGAUUAAAUAGUAUCUAGUUUUUUUUUGUGUUUUUCUCGCUUCCCUCACUAAAUUUCGUCUCCAUAUCCACAAAUCUAUUUAGAUCCGCAAUUUUUUAAUUAUUCCUGAGUUUAGAUAUUCAACUUCCCCUGUAGAUCUAUAUUUAUUCAUGUAUAUUUUGUCAAACAUCUAUUGUUUGUUUUAGAUAUCCACAAAUCUAUUUAGAUCUGUAUCUAUUCAUUUAUAUUUACCAAGCAUAUGUUGUUUUAUUGUAGAUAUCCACAUAUCUACUUAGACACUCUGCAGGUUUGCAUUAAAUGGAAGUCGCCUCCUUCCUUCUGUCACCGCAGCAAAGACGACGCAGCUACGGCAAACUUCUGUCGAGAGAUCUCCACGGCAAUUAAAAAGUCCGGUGACUCUGUCUGGAGCUUGCCCGACGGUGGCGUUUUGGAAGCCGGUGGAGUAGGAAGCGUUGCGGGAAGAAAGAGAAGCCAAAAGGGUUCUGAGAUUGGUGUUGUAAAGGCUGUUACUCGAGUAAUUUGCCGUAUUUGAACAGAUGUGAUAUACGUAAGUGGGAUCUUGAGCAGAAACUCUGAAACUAGUGAGAAAGGAGAAGAGGAAAAGGAAGAAGAAAGAGGCGUAAUAAGACAUUACUGGGGUUUCUUGAUUUGUGUUUCUUCUUCUCAUCAAGCUUUGGGAAAAUUCUGAUAUAUGAAACAAAUUUGAUUUUUUGUUCUCUCUCGGUGACUAGUAGUGACUACUGUAGAUAGCGUGAAACAGAGGUUGGUUUUGCGACGACGAAAAGUCAAGGUCAAGGUAAACGCGUCUCGUAUUGAAUUGUCGGGUCCUGUUCCACUUGUGUUCAGUUACUAAAUGUCUAAAUCAUUACUAAUUUUUUAAUAUGUGAUAACAAAAAAAAAGGAAUUGGCAAAAAGAUUUGAUAAAUGGAAAAUUAAUUUGUAUAGCUAGAAGCCUGGAAGAAAUUAUAACAAAAUAAAAACCUAUUUCAAAAUUAAGAAAAUUGUCAAAACAGUCAAAUUUAAAACAUUUUAACUCUAAAUUUAAGCUUUAAACUCUGAAUUCUCAAUUUUCUUGAGUACUUUGUUGCAAAACUACAUUUUAUUGCAAAGAAAUAGACAAUCGGCAGUUGGGAUUUUCAGAACAAAAUAAAUGUAGCUGCUGGCAUGGUUUCAAAGAUCUUAAUUACUAGUAGUAGAAUUUAGAUAGGAUACAUGAGAGAAACUACUAGUAUAGAAUUUGUUUCGUAUACUCUUUCUUGAAUAGAGAAUUAUUGAAAUUAGGAAUCGUUGUUGACUAUUCUUCAAAAAAACAUUGUGGGGCUGAAAAUUUGUCGCCACUGAUGCUGGAAAGUUCUUAAUAUUCCACAUGACAUCAUAAUUCCAUUCUUGAUUCGUGUUUUCACCCAAACAUGAAUCUACAGCAUAUAAUUUUUUUUUUUACAUCAUACGAAUGUUAUUUGUUUAAAACGAAUUUUGCAUCCGUAAGGUCCAUCUAAUUGCAAAGGUGUUUUAAUUUCUAUGAGUUUAUAUGAAUUUGAAAUAUUUCCUUUUUGGCAUUCACAUAUACAUAAAGAAAAGGAAAAUAAAACAAGAAAUACAAAACAGAGAAGAAAAAUUUGAGAAAUCUCUUCUUUUUGGUAUUAUAUAGGUUCUCAUGUCCAAGCACAAAACGUUAAAGGCAGCGACGCUGCUCCGUAAGGCUGCAUGAUACGGGCUUAUGAGACCUCCGCCAUGACUUCUUCGUGAAGAAGACAAUUGGCUUUGUUAAUCUGUGACGUAUACUUCAGGGUUCUACAACCAUUAGAUCCUAUUAGAUCGGUUGCCCCUUUAUCAAGUAUUUUUCACUUUUUCCCUCGUUUAAACAAACACAAGAAACGUAUUCGCAUGAAACAUACGGAAGAAGAAUAAGAAACUAGGAUUUUAAUGGAACUAUUGGAAAGAAAGACUAAUCCUAACUUAAGAAGCCAAACAAUUAUUUACAUGCACGAAUAACCUAAUAUAUAAUGGAAGAAUUACGUUACGAAACCUAGAAAGAAUGUGAGGUAGACGAAAAAGGGGAGGAUAUGAGGAAGAUGAGAUGACCAAACCUAGAGGGUGUUGUGUAUAUAUAUAUACACAUGACUUAUGCGGUGUAUGUAGCCAAAACCCUAGCUAGUUCUUUUUAUUUUAUUUUAAUGAUUAUUCAAAACCCUAGUCUUUAAAAAGUACUAAUUCUUUUCCGUAACCGCCAAGGAAAAACAAUCGGCUUUUUUCAUGCAACAAAUCUCGUUAAAAUUGGUUAUGGGCCUGCCUAUGAGAAUGGAAGCCAGAAGAGGACUCGGUCAAUGCUUCGAGAAAAAAAAUGCUUCGAGAACAUUUGCGUGAUAUAUUGGGCCUUCUUUCCCAAAAGCCCAAUUUGCAUCAUGAUUCUUCAAUCCAUCGACACACAUAUCUUCUUCGUUCUCGUUAUUGUCGUGAGAGUGCUGCUCAUGUGCUGCAGACAAAUUGAGAAGGAGACACUUGGAAUUUGUAUCCACAAAAGCCACGUUCAUAUUUUUAUGUGAUAAUAGCAAUUUAGUUCUGUUAUUUUCAACACAAAAAUCCACCUCCUGCAUUCUCUUUGUACUAAAAGCUCCAUUGGUGAAGAAAAAAUCAACGUGAUCUACGACACAUAUGUCUUCAUCGUAGACGUCAUACACCGGAUCACCAAUAAUAUCCUUGUAAUUUCCAAACAAGUCUUCUCUUGACAUAAAUGAAUAUUCAUCGGUUUGAUAAAAACACCCGAACGACAUGGUAAACGAAGAACCGAUUCGGCUCUAAUACCAACUGACGUAGCGGAAGCUUUAAGGAUAGAUUACGAAAGUAAUCUUGAGUAUUAAUGGAUCUCAAGCAAGACAAUUGUAGCUCGGAAUUCUAGUGUUAUCGGAGAUCAAUGGAUUCACGAUAAACAAAGACUUCGUUUGAGAAUACUCCAAAUGAUGGAGCGGAAGCUUCUAGGGAUAGAACUAGAUCCGUUGAUUCUGAGAAUACCCGGAAACUAGGGUUUGAGAGUCCUCCUCUCAGAGUUUUCACAAAAGCUCUUAGAUUGUGAAUACUCUUCACAGUGUUUAUAAAAACCUCUUUAAAUCUUUCGAUUAAUCAAUUCAUCAAUAACUUAAUACAAUAGGAGACAUAAGAAGGCUAUUUAUAAUAAAACAUAAAAACCCUAAAACUUAGAAUAUUCUAGAAUAAUUAUAAUUAAUAAAUUAAAAGAUAAUAUAAAUAGAUAUUUAGAAAUAUUCCAAAUAUCUCGCUGCAUCAGGUCUCGUCGGCCAAGAAAAGAUUCGUCCUCGAAUCUUGUUUCUACGCUGCAUCAAAACUUCUUCAGUUGAUUGGAAAAAUCAGAGGCAAUUUAUCAAAGACAAGAGAAGCUAAACCUAAUUUUCAGACCAAAAAUAAAAUAAACGAAACUGAACCUAUUUUUUCAAAUUUUAAAGAACACGUCAAAAAAGAGCAAAACGAAUCAAGGUAUCCUAGAGCGCCAUUAGAACCAAAAUGCUAAAAUGAGUAAAUUAACCAAUUUAUAGAAAUUCGUUUUAUUUCGACAACAACAAAUGGUUUUUAAUGGUGGCAUGAAGAGAAGAUAGGAUUAAAUCCAAAACUUAUGACCAACUUUACAAACAACAAAAGAUAUCAACGGACAAAAUGUUACCCUUAAUUUGUAUUUAAAGGUUCCCAGUUUCCAAUCUUUAAACCAAAAUACACAUCUUAUUAAUAUAGGCCACAAAAAAUUUCAUACCAUUAUAUGUUUUUUUCUUCUAUUUACUGAGAGAAUAGAUUUGCUUUGGAGACAAUUUUUAGAUAUUUUAUUACUUCUUAUAGAAAUUUUGUUCGUUAUACAUAAUGUUACAAACUCUUUUUUAACAAAAAAAAAGUAUUGUCCACAAAUUAUAGGAAAUUGGAAAAAAAAAAAAAAAAAAAAAAAGAACGAAACAAUUUAUAGCUAGGAUCAUAUAGGAGACAAAAAUAUAGAUUAUCCUUGACUUAGUCAUUAGAGAUUAUCCUUGACUUAGUCAUUAGAGGAAAUGUAAUUCAACGUUGAUUUGGAUCGAAAGAAGCGUGAGAGACGACCAUAUAUAUGUCCACAAGUCUAUAGGUGGUUGGCAUUUUAUGGAGACCAAUAAACUUUAGAAUUGGCACUAUUGCAAGGGGCCGGGAAACAAGUUAAAAAGAAAAAACCUCUAACUUUUGUGAAUUUGCCAAACAAAUUCUAUUAGAUAAGUUAAAGAGAAAUUAAAGGAAUAUUAAGGUUUGUCUUUAGUUCAACUGCUUUCACUAAUUUUCAUUUUAUCUGAGUGCCCUGCAAAGAAGUGUAAGAUAUACUCUUGUUUAUAGCUUUAUUCACUAGAGAAUGAAGACAAAAGGGUUCAGAGAAUUAAUGGCGUAAUUGUUGAUUCUUCGACAGUAAGUUUGUUCUGCUGGAACAGAGUGAUUCUGAAAAUCUAAUACAGAGUUUGUAAAGAUAACAAGGUAAAGUACUUUUGUGCAAAAAAAAAAAAAAAAAAAAAAACAAGGUAAAGUACUAUAAUAGGAAGUCAACGACUAUAGAAGUCAACCUUCCACUGUGAGUGUUAAUUGGUUUUGAAGAAAUGAAGGGUUUUUUAGCAAAGUAGACACUUUUAGAAAAAUAAUUUGCAAAGUAGGUAGUUUUUUUAAAAAAUAGAGAAAUAGACACUUUUUUUACUUUUUGUGAGAUAUAACUUUUGUCUAAUAGACUAAAAGACAAAAUAGUUAUCAAAUACUAAAAUAUCCCUUAUCUUGAGAGAGAAUAAACAAAAUAUGAGGGACCACUUUUAUUUUGUUACUUUCUUCUUUAUCUAUUUGGUUCUUUUUUCUCCUUGAAUUAUUAUUUUUAAAGAGAAUUUUUUUUUAAUCACCUGAAUUAUAUAUUUUUUUGGCACUAUUCUCAUACACAAACAUUUAAAAAAUCGUUUUGUACACUAACACUUGUACACUAAAUCAUCUUGUACACCGAUAUUUCAUAAAUCAUCAAGUACACCGAUUUUCUUGUACUUAUAAAUUGAAGUAAUAAUUGUUUAGAAUAUUUGUACAAAUAUGGUGAUUGUAUAAACCGAAUGUUAUAUUUAAUAUGAUGGUGUACAUGAUGGUGUACACAAUUAAAUUACUUUUGAUGGUAUACAUAAUGAUAUAAACCAUUAUGAUGUACGAGAUUGGUGGAUGGAAUUGUGUACACAAGUUUUAAAUGACAGCAUACAAGACUGGUAGAUAAAGUGUACAAAACUUGGUGUACAGUACUUAUAGGGAAUGUAUAAACCAUUAUUUCAAUUUAAUGGUGUACGUCAUCUCGUACACUGAUGUUUGUACAAAAUAUGUGAAGGUGUACGAUGUUGUAGAGGGCACACAAGGUGGUGUAUGGUGCGACCCACUAUCUCAUCAUUUCAUGUACAUUAAUAAUAUUGUGUACACCGCACUUUACAUCAUCAUCGUACACCAUCGUAUUAUGUAGUUAUACACCAUUAUAGAUUAUCAUUUGUACACCAUCUUGUGCACUAUCAUACUCUGUAUACCACUUUCUAAACUCAGUAUCAUAUAUUACUUCUUAUAUUCUUGAUGUACACUACCGUUUGUACACCACCGUUUACAUUAUUACGUACACCGUCGGGUUAAGAUUAAAUAAUAAAAAAGUGUUACGUAUCCGCAAAUAUAGCAAAAUUAGACAUUUUAAAUUCACAUAAAUUUUUUAAAGAUUAAGAUGUUGUUGUAAUAAUUUAUUUUUAUUAAGAAUUUAUAGCAAAACAAAUUAAAAGUAUUUAAGUGAAAAUAAGAAAGAGAAAAAAGAAAAUCUUUGACUAUAAGUCAAUUUUGUCAUUAUCUAACAAAACAACAAAACAAGAAAAGGUUAUAUAAGUCAUUUACUAAAAUCUCUAUUACACAAAAAAGUUGUAUUAGAGAAGAAAGAGAAAAGUGUCUAUUAUUCUAAUUUCUAAAAAAACUACCUACUUUACAAAUUAUUUGUUAAAAAAGUGUCUACUUUACAUAAUUUCUCAGAAAUGAAGGCUAGAAUCUGAAUCAACUAGGGUUGUGAAAAUACUGUUUUAGCUUACAACUGUUUGUUUGUUACUUGUCUCGUACGGAAGUUUAAUGGUGUUGUCUUAUUGACCCAGAUUCUCCGCGCGUAGCAGAAUAAUCAUCAACCUAUUAAAUAUUUAACUCCAUUACGUUUAUCAUUCUGGGAAGUAGAAAGAUUUAUAAUUCGAUUUUCUCUGGUUAUCGCUUUCACAUGUUUUUAGUCUAACAUUUAAAUAACAAUAAAAGUUGAUGUUACUCGUAUAGUUGACUUUGACUUUCAUGAAAUUUGUAUUAGAACACAAAACUUUGACGUGGUGGAUGGUUUAACAUUUUCAUUCAUUGGUAUUAUUUAGUAGUUUAGUACGCAUGAACCAGUAAAGAUAACAAGAAAGAAAAAAAAAACAGAGGAGAAAGGAUAACAAAUUAAUUAGAUAAUGUCUGCUUAUACCUCAUUAAACUCUCUCUUCCUUCUCACAUUUUUCUUUGCAAGCUUGAGAGCUUCUGCACAUUUACAGGACCUGACUUACGUCGGCCAUAGUUGCAGUAAGACGACAUCAACAAACAUCACUUACUUCUCAAAUCUCCAAACUCUUUUGACCUCUCUUUCUUCUAACAGUGCUUACUUCUCCUUGGGAUCUCAUAGUCUUACAAAGGGUCAAAACGCCAGCAUGGUAUUCGGACUUUAUCUCUGCAGAGGAGAUCUCUCGCCGGAAGAUUGUGGUGAUUGUGUCGUAAAUGCUUCUAAAGACGUUCGAAGUAGAUGUCUACGAGGGAAAGAGUUCUUGAUUCAGUAUGAUGAGUGCAUGCUUGGAUACACGGACCGGAAUAUUUUCAUGGAUGCUGUAACCACAAGGUCCACUCCUACAAUAAUCACUUGGAACACUCAGAAUAUUAAGGCGGACUUGGACCGGUUUAACGAUACUGUGUUUUCUCUGAUUAACAAGUCUGCAGUGGAAGCUGCUAAUAGCAAAUCGAAGAAAUUCGCGGUUAUUAAAUCGAAUUUCACUUCGUCCCUGACGGUAUAUUCAUCGGUUCAGUGUAUUCCUGAUCUGUCUAGUGGAGAAUGCUUAAGCUGUCUCCAACAGUCCAUCAAUGAAAUUUUUUUCACCAAAGUCGGAGGAAGAGUUCUUGUCCCGAGUUGUAACUUAAGGUACGAGAUUUACCCUUUCUACGAUGAAACCUCUGUGAAAACUCUCUCUCCAUUGCCGCCGGUUUCAGCUCCUCAAUUGCCAAUAAAGAUUCCUCACCCGGUUUUAGCUCCUCCACUGCCGGCUGGUAAAGGUGCUCUCUCUCUCUCUCUCUCUCUCUCUCUCUUUUUCUUUCAUUUGCUUGAUUGGAGUGAAACAGACAACUAUACAAGAUUUGUCUGAUCUAAUACUUUGUCAGGAAAAAGAGGAAAUUCCACGAGGGUAAUCUUAGAAAUUUGUGUGCCGGCGGCUUUCUCUGUUCUUCUUUUUGUGGCUGUAUUUACCUUCCGUUUGACAAAGAGAGUGAAGAAGACUAAUGACACAGCAGUUGCAGAUGAAGGUAGAGAUUCCAAAAUACUCUUGUUGUUUACUACUUAAAUUUUUGGUUUAUGAAGUUUAAUGCUAAAAACAUUUGGUUUUUGCAGAUGGGGAUGAUAUUUCAACGGCAGGCUCUCUGCAGUUUUGUUUUAAGGUUGUUGAAGCUGCGACAAAUAAAUUUUCAAUAUGUAACAAACUCGGUCAAGGUGGAUUCGGACAAGUUUACAAGGUACUACCAGUUCAUUGAGCUUCCUAAUUACUUUCAUAAGAGAUUCAAACUCUGUUUAAUUCACAAUCUUUUUAGGGCACACUUCCUAAUGGAGUACAAGUUGCCGUGAAGAGACUAUCGAAAACAUCGGGACAAGGUGAAAAAGAGUUCAAGAACGAAGUUGUUGUUGUGGCAAAGCUUCAGCACAGAAAUCUGGUCAAGCUUCUUGGAUUUUGUUUAGAGAGAGAAGAGAAAAUACUUGUCUACGAGUUUGUGUCUAAUAAAAGCCUUGAUUACUUCUUGUUUGGUAAGUUAAAUCAAUGCUUAGCAAAAUAUAUUUUAUUGUUGACAUUCUAACUAUAUGGAUGUGCAGACUCUAAAAAGCAGAGCCAGCUGGAUUGGACUACACGGUAUAAGAUCAUAGGAGGAAUUUCUAGAGGAAUAUUGUAUCUCCAUCAAGAUUCACGACUCACAAUCAUACAUCGAGACCUCAAAGCGGGUAACAUCCUCUUGGAUGCUGAUAUGAACCCGAAAAUUGCAGAUUUUGGAAUGGCGAGAAUUUUUGAAAUGGACCAAACAGAAGCCAAUACGAGAAGAGUAGUUGGAACCUAGUAAGUUUUGUUCUUGACAACUAUUAAAUGUUAAAUCCAUUUGUUAACUCAAACUUUUAUGCAUCGUGGCAGUGGUUACAUGUCACCUGAGUAUGCCAUGUACGGCCAAUUCUCAAUGAAAUCUGAUGUCUAUAGCUUUGGAGUCUUAGUUCUUGAGAUUAUAAGCGGGAGGAAGAACAGCAGCCUUUAUCAGAUGGAUGCUUGUUUGGGAAACUUGGUUACAUAUGUGAGUAUAAACACUUCAAAUAUACUACUUUUUCGCUCUAUGAAACAGUCACAAGGAUUUUUUAAGUCUUAAAAUGUGCUAUAGACUUGGAGGCUAUGGACCAAUGAGACGCCAUUAGAGCUUGUGGAUUCGUCCUUUCGAACGAAUUAUCAAAGAAACGAAAUAAUUAGAUGCAUCCAUAUCGCCUUAUUAUGUGUUCAAGAAGAUACUGAAGAUCGUCCAACUAUGUCAAUGAUCGUUCAAAUGCUUACUACUAGCUCGAUUUCCCUAGCUGCACCUCGACCACCUGGUUUUUUCUUCCGAAGUAAGCAUGAAGAAGCAGGUCCAUCAACAAAUAAAUCCUCUCUCUGUUCCAUUGAUGAUGCAUCCAUUACCAUGCUAACUCCUCGUUAAAUAACUCGUUUCAUAAACUAAAAACUAUUGCAAUUCCAAAAUUUACAGUUUUUGCGUUCAUAUUAGAAUCUAUGAAAAUGCUACUAGCUUUGAGGUCACGGUGUAUGAUUAUAAGUUGAGGUUUAUCAUAAAGACGCUUCCUCGAGCAUUGGCUCCAAUGAUGAGAAUCAAUCUGUCCCCUCAUUUUGAAUGGUCUGCAUAUAAUUAAAUAAAAAUGUAUAAAUAAUAUACAACCAGUCCCAUCAAUGUCUCUUGGGUUGACUCUUGUGUAGAUUUUUGUUGAGUCAACCGCAGAUUGUAACAAUUUUAUCGCACGCUAUAAAGUCCCGUAGGGCAGAGAUUCACAAUUGGAACAAACAAAUACGAAAUGGUCCACAAGGAGAAAAAACUAAAGAAAAUCAGACGAAGUCAACAUCAAGAAAGCGAGAGCAACCACUAUCGUAGACGAAUUAAUUUUUUUUUUUUUUUUAGACGAAUUAAUUAAGUUUGUGAGGAAGAGAGUUGGUGUAGCUUGAGACACGUUUCAAUCCCUUUGCUUUCCUCUUAGUGUAUGUAUAGUCUUCAGAGUUUGACAAGCCUCUUCUGGCUAUGAAAAUCUUUAAGAAAGCCUUCUUUGUUCUAUGAUAUAAAGUAAAUUAUCAGCUAAUAAAUAAGGUAGAUUACCGUUAACCCUAAACCCUAAUUCUCAUUUAAGAUUUAAAGAAACCCAUGAUUGUUUAUAGCCUGACUUCCCAUAAAAAUGGAAAGCAAGAAAGAGAUGUGAGUCAAUUAUGAUUGUUAACCAUUUUUCUCUGUUCAGUUAUUACGUGCCCGAGAAGUUAGGGGAACAAUGCUCUUAUUUUCUUUUUCUUUUUGGUAAAGGAAAACCUCUUUUUUCUUAAAAGAAUGCUCUUAUAUAUUUUCUUCUGAUUACUCUCCAUGCAAAGCCUCCAAAGUCCAACAGAAUGAUCAUCAAUAUAUUUCUAAUUCGUUGAAUUUAUCAGAACUAGACGGUCUUUAUAUUAAGGGUUUUGUGAAAAAACAUCAUCCAACUCGUCAACUCGUCAAAAUAAUACGCAAUAUAACCGUAAACGUUUUCACGAUCACAUACAUUAGAUUUUUAAAAUUCUAAAGGUAGAGUUAAAAUCCUUGUCGUGAGUACUUUCGAUUUCACAUAUCAUUCGUCAAAAUUUCACAAACUUAGACGGUAGUGAAAAAGGGUUACAUUGAAUAUUAUUUGACGGUAGUGAAAAAGGGUUACAUUGAAUUUUAUUUUUGACUUUGUAUCAUUAAUUUACAUUUUUUGUAAGUGAAGGAUAAAAUUGCAAAAAUCGGCGAGUUGGAGGUUUGUUUUGCACAAAACCAUUAUAUUAUGUCCACAAAAUUAAUUAAAGGUAUUAAAUCACAAAAAAAAAAAAAAGUUAAUCAAUUAAAGGACUUGUAUACACCAAAGAGAAGAUAAUUUGGAUUGAAAUGAAGACUAGUAUAUACAACGUAACUGAAAUCGGAAUUUACUAUUUUUCCAAGUUCUUUAGGAUCGGAGCGUCUGAAAAUUUAAGAAUGCAUAAUCGAACCAAUAAUUAACGUAAACGUCAUGAGAUCCGAUUAUAAAGAAAAACUCACUAUUAAAUCAAUACAAAACAUUAAAUAGGAUUGGCCACAUUUAGAAAUAUGUUCUUUUUUUUUUGAUACCCUAUCGGUUGAUCCGGUCAGCUCCGGUAGAAACGCACCGAAGUGCUUUAGAGUGGACUUCUCCCCGAAGGGCCACCACACUGUCUGUACGGAGUUAAUUUGGAAUGCUUUCCGACUAAUGCCAAGGGGUAGCGAGAUCGCCUGUUACUGACUACCAGGUAAACUGCCUAGGCCUUUGGCCAAGCCCAGACUUCCCACACAAAUGUGUUUUUUGUUUGCAGGGUGGAUCGAACCUGGGUUAGUUCCUUCCAACAUAAGCUUAAACUUAAUUUCAAUUAUACAUUAAUACCAAUUGAUCUUUAAGCGUGAAGGUGAAUACCAUAUUCAACGAGGAGUCGAGGAUAUAAAUCACUUAUAGAUGUCUCGUCAAAAGAUACUGGAAAAGACUUGCUCGUUGUUGAUUUAUCUGAAUCAAGCGGGGUGUUUCCGGGUCUACUCUUCACGAAAAAACCCGGUUGCUGAGGCGCUGGUAAAGUCACAGUAUUAUUGGUGAGCAUCACGGAAAUCGUUGACAUGGCUGGAUGCUUUACAGGAUCUUCUUGAACACAUAAAACACCGAUAUGGAUGCAUCGAACCACUUCACUAUUCUGGCAGUUAUCUACAAUGAUUGGAUCCACUAGGUCUAAUGCUGUUCCGUUUCUCCAAAGCCUCCAAGCCUAGAAUAUCGUCAAUCAGUCAAACAAUUAUUGCAACUAUUGCUUUUUGUAGGAUGAGGAGAGGCAUAUAUAAAAAUCAUUUCCUUUAAACUUACAUGUGUCACCAAGUCUUGUGCGUCAUCUGUCUCGUUGAAGCUGUUAUUCUUCCUACCGCUUAUAAUCUCAAGAACUAACACUCCGAAACUAUAGACAUCAGAUUUCAUUGAGAACUGGCCACGCAUUGCAUAUUCAGGAGACAUGUAACCGCUGGAAUCCACAUCAAAACUUUACUAUGUUGUCAAAAUAAAAUGUUCAACAUGUGAGAACUGAGAAGUCAAGUGGAAGACUUACUAGGUACCAACUAUUCUGAGUGUGUUCUGCUGGGUUUGAUCCAUUUCAAAGAUCCUUGCCAUUCCAAAAUCUGCAAUUUUAGGAUUCAUAUCUGCAUCCAGGAGAAUGUUACUCACUUUGAGGUCACGGUGUAUGAUCGUUAGUCGUGAAUCUUGAUGAAGAUAUAGGAUCCCUCUAGCAAUCCCACCAAUGAUCUGGUAUCGCUGUGUCCAGUACAGCUGACUUUUCUUUGCAGGAUCUGUGCACAUACGUGAAUAGUAGCUCUAAAGAUUUGCAACCUCAUGUUUCAAGACUAGUUAACGAAACAAUGAAGAAAAUCAUCAAAUGCAACUGACCAAAUAGGAAGUUAUCAAGGCUUUUAUUUGCCACAUACUCAUAGACCAAUAUCCUUUCUUCUCCUUCUAUAGAAAAUCCGAGAAGCCUAACCAGAUUUUUGUGCCGAAGAUUUGCAACAACUGCAACCUCUGUCUUGAAUUCCGCGUCACCUUGUUCUGAUGUUUUCGAAAGUCUCUUCACUGCAACUUCGGUUCCAUUUGAAAAUGUACCCUAUCCAUUUUUAUUUAUCAUCAUUAUCUCGUUAUCCAAAUUUGUUGGAACAAAAAAAACAAUCGAUAACUUAUAUAGUAUAUAAUAUAUACCUUGUAAACAUCACCAAAUCCACCUCGACCAAUUUUAUUAUCCUCUGAAUAAUCAUUUGUUGCAGCUUGAAUUGCUCCAUAAUCAAGUUGCAGAGACUCUGAGGUUGUUUUAUCAUCUUCUCUUGCACAAUAAAUGUCUUAGUAAUCAGAAAGAAAAAUAAAGAAGAAGAUGAUAAUUAAUGACAUUAAUCAAACCUAACUAAGAUUGUUAAUCUUUACCAUCAAGAGCAGGUGCUGUGCCAUAAGUCUUCUUUGCCCUCUUUGCAAAGAAACAAUAACCAGCUAUGAAAAGCCGAACAACCACUAUAAUAGGCACAACAAUGGCUACCACUAACACUGUUGAAUUCCUACUUUUCCCUGUUUUCCGAAGAUCAUUUGCUUAAGAUAAGAAAAUAGUAGACGCUAACCGAGCUAAGAUCAAGUAAACAGGGCAAAAAACAGAGGAAGAAGAAAGUGUUCACCAGGUAGUGAAGGAGAUGUCAACGGAGGCGUAGACCCUGGAAACCGCAUCGGCGGUGGUGGUGGUGGUGGUGGUGUUCCAAUGGCGGUUUCGUUGUAGAACGCGUAAAGCUCAUACCUUGAAUUACAAAUUGGCCAAAACUAUCUUGCUCCAAUUUUAAAAAGUGAUAUUCUAUUGAUGGUACUUAUCAGACAGCUGAAGCAGUCUUGUCUUGUAAGAUCAGGAGUGCACUGAACCAACCAGUAAAAAGUCUGGAGUGCGGUGAUAAGCCCUACCGUGUGUAUGUGAGACAGAGGCGCUCUCGUGUGGAAACAGGGGAUGGCACGUGCGAGAAUUAAAUGAUGCUAGCCGUUGGAUGGAAGAAGAAGGAUAAUUGUUGAUCAAGCAAGUGGGAGUCAGCUUCUAGAAACUCUUAGCUUUUAUCUAUAAAUAAGAAGUCUCGGGUGUGAGAUCAGUCAUGCAGAAUUUUAUGUACAACUUCUCCUGCGUGGGAUUUAAGGGUAGUGAUCUAGAAGGUAUGAUGUUCUAGAUCUAUACUUGUAUGUAAUUCUGUAUUAAGAACUCUAUGAAUCCGUACUCAGUUCUUAACAUGCGGUCAAUUCGGUCUUUAUCGUAGAGAAUCUUCUAGAACUGUUGGCUGCUACCAUGGCAGCUUGGUUCAUAUUAGAUAACACCAAACCUAUAAACUGGUCUCUUUGAUUUUGAAUAGAAGAAAUAUUAUUGGGGUUCCUCAUGAUAUGUUCUCCUUCGUAUGUAACUGUCGAUAGAAUAUUCUUGUGAGAGUAUCUAAGUAUGCACUCCUCAUAAUAGAACACAGCUUCUCUCUGAUUUGGACACCGAGUUAACGAUUCGUUAACGGAGAAGGCAACGCAGUUACGGCAAACUUCGGGCGAGAGGUCUCCGCGGCAAAGGAAAAGUCCGGUGACCCUGUCGGGGGUUUGUCCCACCGUGGCGUUUUGGAAUCCGGUGGAAUAAGAGGCGUUACGGGAAGAUAGAGAGGACAAAAGGGUUUUGAGAUUGGUGGAGUAAGUGCUGUUACUUGUGUAAGUUGUCGUAUUUGGACAAUUAUGAUUUAGGUAAAAAGGAUCUUGAGCAGAAGCUCUGAAGCUAGUGAGGAAUGAGAAAAGGAAAAGGAAGGUGAAGGAGAAGAAAGAAGACAUGUUUUUUUUUCGACUUCCUUGAUUUGAGUUUCACAUCAUGGAGCUUCUUCCAUUUAUAAAUUGAAUUUUUUUCUUUUCUGCUGAUUAACGUGAAGUAUACGAUGGUUUGUGACGAUAAGUCGUCAAUCAAAGUUAAUGUUAAAGAGAGAUGAGAUUGAGAGUGAUCUUAGUAGGCCUAUUUGUAAAGUUCAUUGUUUCCAGACACAUCUUCACAGUUAAACCUUCCACUGAGCGUGUUGAUUUGUUCAGAUUCUGAAUCAAUGAAUGCUACAAAAUGAAUCAACUAGGGUUGUGAAAUUACUGUUUUAACUUAUAACUGUUGGUUUGUUACUUGUCUGGUAAGCAAGUUUAACGGUGCUGUCUUAUUUUAAGUCUCGGCGCCAAGCAGAACAAUAUUUUAUUUUAUAUCUUUGUCGGAAAUAUAUUGAUAGACGUCAAAACUUAGAAAUUUAUAAUUCCAUUUUCUCUACUUAUCGCUUCCAGCUGUUUUAGUCUAACAUUUAAAUAACAAGAAAAGUUGAUGUUACUCGUCUCGGUGACUUUGACUUUCAAGAUAUUGUAUUAGUUAUUUAAUUUACAACAAAAAAAAAAAGAAAAAAAAAAAAAACCUUUGACGUACUAGAUGGUUUCACAUUUCAUUUAUAUCACCACUUUACAAAUCAUGCAAAAUCGCACCUUCACAAUCCCACAGUACUCUGUUUACAAGAUCAUUGGAGGUAUUGCUGAAGCGAUUCUAGAAUGAUUCACAACUCAUAAUCAUACAUUGUGACUUCAAAGCAGGUAAUAUCCUCUUAGACGCUGAAAUGAACUCCAAAGUUACAGAUUUUGGAUUGGCCAAAUUUUUAGAAUGAAUUAAACUGUAAUGCCAACAUUCUAAGUGUUCUCUCCCUAUAUCAUUUUUUUCAUUCAGAGAGGUAAUGAAUUUUUUAAUCGGUGGUGAUGUCGACACUAGACUGAUUAUUCUUUAAUUAAAAAUCAAAACAAAUUACAUAUGGUUUUAACAAACCAAACCAAAUCAGACUAAACAACUCGUAGGGAUGAUCACGUCUAGAUAUAUGUAAAUAUAUGCUUAAACUUGAUUACAAGCUUGAGGUUAACAUCAUAAUUAGCGCAUAAUUAGCGCGGAUAUAAAUCAGUGAUCGCUGGAAAAGACUUGGUCGUGGUAGACUGAGGUCCUUUACAUGUCUACUUUGAAUGAAAAACCCUUGUUGCCGAGGAACUGGUAAAGUCACAGUAUUACUAGUGAGCAUCAUGAAAAUUGUUGAUACUGCCGGACGCUUUACAAGAUCUUUGAAGUCGAUCUUGUAAAGCAUCGUUUUGCUAAUUAACGAAGCUUAUUAAUUGAAACAUAACCAUGUCUAGUGACUUAGCGAUGUGCCUAAAUUGGCAUAGUCAGCAAGAAUUUAAGAUUUAAUAUAAAAUCAACAAAAAUUUUAGUAUCUAUUUUACUAGAUGCAAAGUUGAGGCAUUUUUUUCAACGAAAAUGCAUAGUUGAGAUUUUUAUAACAUGUUUCCCGAUUCUAGACUAAAAAGCAUGUACAAUGAACAAAGUUUUCUUUCAGUUAACUUUUCCAUUGUUCACUUUCUUUAUGUUCUCGGCAAGCUAAGAAAGUGAUGCUCUUCUUUUUUAACUUUUAUAAGUUCUCUCUCCCUAUCUCAAUUUUUCCCUUCAUAGGUAAUGAAUUUUCAAUCGGUGGUGAUGUUGAUAGCUGAGACUAAAUUAAUUAUUCUUGAACUAAGAAUCAAACCAAAUUACAUGUGGUUUUAACAAACCAAAUCAAAACUAACAAUAAACAUAGUUCAUCAAGUCUAGAAAUAUGAAAUAUAUGCUUAAACUUGAUUUCAAUCGUAAGGUUUAAUUACACCAUAUUCAACGAGGGUAUAAAUCAGAUAUCGAUGAAUCGUCAAUAGCUACUGGAACAGACUUGCUGGUCAUUGAUUGAUCUGAAUCAAGCGGGUUUGUUCCAGGUAUACUCCUUCCAAAAAACCCUGGUUGCUGAGGCAUUGGUAAAGUCAUUGUAUUACUAGUGAGCAUCACGGAAAUGGUUGACAAGGCAGGACGCUCUACUGGACUUUCUUGAACACAUAAAAGACCGAUAUGGAUGCAUCGAACCACUUCACUAUUUUGGCAGUCAUCUACAAUGAUUGGAUCCACCAGGUCUAAUGUUGUUCCGUUUCUCCAAAGCCUCCAAGCCUAGAAUAUCAAUGAGUCAAACAAUUAUUGCAACUAUUGCUUUUUGUAGGAUGAGGAGGGGCAUAUAUAAAAAUCAUUUCCUUUAAACUUACAUGUGUCACCAAGUCUUGUGCGUCAUCUGUCUCGUUGAAGCUGUUAUUCUUCCUACCGCUUAUAAUCUCAAGAACUAAUACUCCAAAACUGUAGACAUCAGAUUUCAUUGAGAAUUGGCCACGCAUCGCAUAUUCAGGAGACAUGUAACCGCUGGAAUCCACAUCAAAAAGUUUAAUAUGUUAUGAGAAUAAAAUGUUCAACGAAUUUCAACAUGUUGUCAAGUGGAAGACUUACUAGGUACCAACUAUUCUGCUUGUGUUCUGCUGGGUUUGAUCCAUUCCAAAGAUCCUUGCCAUUCCAAAAUCAGCAAUUUUAGGAUUCAUAUCUGCAUCCAGGAGAAUGUUACUCGCUUUAAGGUCACGGUGUAUGAUUGUGAGUCGUGAAUCUUGAUGAAGAUAUAGGAUCCCUCUAGCAAUCCCACUAAUGAUAUAGUAUCGCUGUGUCCAGUACAGCUGACCUUUCUUUGCAGGAUCUGUGCACAUCCAUGAAUAGUAGUUAGCUCUAACCAUGUUUCAAGACUGGUUAAGGAAUCAACGAAACAACUCAUCAAAUGCAACUGACCAAAUAGGAAGUUAUCAAGGCUUUUAUUUUCCACAUACUCAUAGACCAAUAUCCUUUCUUCUCCUUCUAUAGAAAAUCCGAGAAUCCUAACCAGAUUUUUGUGCCGAAGAUUUGCAACAACAACAACCUCGUUCUUGAAUUCUGUGUCACCUUGUUCUGAUGUUUUCGACAGUCUCUUCACUGCAACUUCGGUUCCAUUUGAAAAUGUACCCUAUCCAUUUUUAUCAGCAUUAUCUCGUUAUCUAAAUAUGUUGUAGCAAAAAAACACAAUCGAUAAAUUAUAUAGUAGUAUUUACUGUACCUUGUAAACGUCACCAAAUCCACCUCGACCAAUUUUAUUAUUCUCUGAAAAAUCAUUUGUUGUAGCUUGAAUUGCUCUAUAAUCAAGUUGCAGAGACUCUAUGGUUGUUUUAUCAUCUUCUGUUGCACAAUAAAUGUCUUAGUGAUCAGAAUAAAAAAAAAAAGAGGAAGCUGAUAAUUAAUGACAUUAAUCAAACCUAACUAAGAUUGUUAAUAUCACUUGAAUCUUUACCAUCUAAAGCAGGUGCUGUGCCAUAAGUCUUCUUUGCCCUCUUUGCAUAAAAACAAUAACCAGCUAUGAGAAGCAGAACAGCCACUAUGAUAGGCACAACAAUGGCUACCACUAACAAAUUUGAAUUCCCACUUUUACCUGUUUUCCGAAGAUCAUCUGCUUUAGUAAGAAAAUAGUAUACGAAUAACUAAACAAAUUUGAAAAUUCUGCUUUCCAUAUUGGUAAUACUGCGAAAGUCAAGUAAAUAGGGGGAAAAACAAAGGAAGAAGAAAGUGCUCACCAGGUAGUGAAGGAGAUGCCAACGGAGGCGUAGACCCUGGAAACCGCAGCGGCAGUGGUGGUGGUGGUGGUGGUGUACCAAUGGCAGUUUCGUCGUAGAACGCGUAAAGCUCGUACCUUGAAUUACAACUUGGCCAAAGAUGUCUUGCUCCAAUUCUAGAAAAUGGCAGUCUAUUGAUGGAACUUGUCAGACAACUCAUGCAGUUUUCUCUUGAAAGAUCAGGAGUGCAUUGAACGAGCCCGUACAAAGUCUGGAGUGCGGUCAAUUCGGUCUUUAUCGUAGAGAAUUUUCUAGAACUGUUGGCUGCUUCCGUGGCAGCUUGGUUCAUAUUAGAUAACACCAAAAUUAUAAACUGGUUUGUUUGAUUUUGAAUAGGAGAAAUAUUAUUAGGGUUCCUCAUGAUAUAUUCUCCUUCGUUUGUGUUGGCCGUCGAUAGAAUAUUCUUGUGAGAGUAUCUGAGCAUGCAUUCAUCGUAAUAGAACACAACUUCUCUCUGAUUUGGACACCGAGUUAACGUUUCGUUAACGGAGAAGGCGACGCAGUUACGGCAAACUUCCGGCGAGAGGUCUCCGCGGCAAAGGAAAAGUCCAGUGACCCUGUCGGGGGCUUGUCCCACCGUGGCGUUUUGAAAUCCGGUGGAAUAAGAGGCGUUGGGGGAAAAGAGAGAGGACAAAAGGGUUUUAAGAUUGGUGAAGUAAGUGCUGUUACUUGAGUAAGUUGUCCUAUUUGGACACCAAUAGGCUAGGUCAUUAGGUUCUUGAGCAGAAACUGUGAAGGUAGUGAGGAAUGAGAAAAGGAAAAGGAAGAUGAAAGUGGUCAGAGAAGACAUGGGUUUUUUCACAUCAUGGAGUUUCCAUUUAUAAACUGAAUUUUUUUCCCUCUAUUGCUGAUCAACGUGAAGUAUACGAUGGUUUGUGACGGCGAUAAGUCAGCCCUCUAUCAAAGUCAAUGUAAAGGAUUCUUUUUUUUUCUAAUGUCAUUUUUAUCAACAACAAAAGUAAAAUUUAUUAAAAAUGGCCAUAAACAUACCUUGAUUUCAGUGUUUUGAUCAAUGAUCCAACAAAAAAAACAUUUGUUGAGCCAAACCCAAAACUUGACCAAUGUUUCUCCAACUCUAAAUUAUAUGGGGGUUUGGUUUCAACUUUGAGAGAUUUUUUAAUUUGUAGAGAGUAUUGUAGUUAGAAUAAUUUUAAUAUUUUAUGGAUAUUCAUGGUUUUUUAAAUUUUUUUGACUUAUGAAUAAAAUUACAAACAAUUGAUCCGUCGAUAAAAAUAUAUUUAAUGAAACAAUUCUGUGAAUGACGAAUUUUUUUGCAUGGGAUUUAAUAAAACUAAAUUUUAUUAAGAAUAAAAAAAUCCAUAAAACAAUAACAAAAGAAUCUCAAGACAGGGGCGGAAUUAUGGGGAGUCUACUACGGCCUAUAUAUAGCUUGGGAGAAGAAAAUCACACGGUUGGAGCUGGAGGUAGACUCAGAUUUCUGAAGACAGGGGUGAGUGAGAUGCAUCCGCUGUCGUUUCUGGUACGUUUGUGCCAUGGCUUUUUAUCGAAGGACUGGAUAGUUCGUAUUUCGCAUGUGUAUAGGAAAGCUAACCGUUUUGCUGAUGGGUUAGCGAACUAUGCAUUUUCUUUGCCUCUUGGUUUUUAUUUUUUUUAUGUUGUUCCGAAUGAUGUUGAUUCACUUCUUAGUGAUGACGUGAUUGGGUCUACGCGCCCAAGACGUAUCCGUUUGUAGUUUGUUUAUUUUUUUCUUAAUAAAAGGGAGACAUAGUCUCCUAUUCCUUACAAAAAAAAAAAAAUAACAAAAGAAUCUCAAAAGUUGUGAAGGAUCCAUCUAUCAAUAACCCCCUAGAUAUCUAGAAGAUGUAUGAAAAUAUUUGAUAAAUUGUAAUAUAAAAAAAAUUUUGAAAAAAAAUUUAUUGAAAAAUAUGGAAAAGGUAUGGAGAUUGUGAGGAAAAUAGAGAUGAGAUUGAUCUAAGUAGGCAUAUUUGUAAAGUUCCUUGUUUCCAAAAUAAUGACUCUAAAAAUCAAAGACUACAUUUACAGUGAACCUUCCACUGAGCGUGUUGAUUGGUUCUGAUUCUUAAUCAAUGAAGGCUGCAAACUGAAUUAACUAGGGUUGUGAAAUUACUGUUUUAACUUAUAACUGUUCGUUUGUUACUUGUGUGGUAAGGAAGUUUAACGGUGCUGUCUUGUUGUCCCAAAGUCUCGGCGCCAAGCAGAAUAAUCACCAACUUAUUAAAUAAUAUUCAACUCCAAUAUUUUUAUAUCUUUCUCGAAACUAAUUGAUAGACAUCAAAACUUUUUUUUUUUUUUUAAGACAUCAAAACUUGGAAUUUUAUAAUUCUAUUUUAUCUGGUUAUAUCUUCCACAUGUAUUAGUCUAACAUUUAAAUUCCUCGUGUAGGUGACUUUGACUUUCAAGAUAUUGUAUUAGUUAUUUAGUUUACCAAAAAAAAAAAAAAAACUUUGACGUGCUAGAUGGUUUCACAAAUCAUGUAAAAUCACCUUCCCACAGUACUCUGUUUUCCCUCUGUUUACAAGAUCAUUGGAGGUAUUGCUAAAGCGAUUCUAUAAUGAUUCACAACUCAUAAUCAUACAUUGUGACUUCAAAGCAGGUAAUAUCCUCUUAGACGCUGAAAUGAACUUGGUCGUGGUAGACUGAUCUGAAUCAGGCGCUGAAAUGAAAGUUAUAGAUUUUGGAUUGGCCAAAUUUUUAGAAUGGACCAAACUGUAAUGCCAACAUUCUAAGUGUUCUCUCCCUAUCUCAUUUUUUCAGUCACAUAGGUAAUGAAUUUUCCAAUCGGUGGUGAUGUCGAGACUGAACUAAUUAUUCUUUAAUUAAAAAUAAAAACAAAUUACAUAGGGUUGAUCAUAUCUAGAAAUAUGUAAAUAUGCUUAAACUUGAUUACAAGCGUGAGGGAUAACAUCAUAUUUAGCGCGGAUAUAAAUCAGUGAUCGAUUCAUCGUCAAUAGACGCUGGAAUAGACUUGGUCGUGGUAGACUGAUCUGAAUCAGGCGGGUCCUUUACGGGUCUACUUUGAAUGAAAAACCCUGGUUGUCGAGGCACUGGUAAAGUCACAGUAUUACUGGUGAGCAUCAUGAAAACGGUUGAUAUUGUAGGACGCUUUACAGGAUCUUCUUGAACACAUAAAAGACCGAUAUGGAUGCAUCGCACCACUUCACUAUUCUGGCAAUUAUCUACUAUAAGUGGAUCCACGAGGUCUAAUGCUGUUCUGUUAUUCCAAAGCCUCCAAGCCUUGAAUAUCAAUCAAUCAAUCAGUUUGCUUAAUGUAGUGUAGGAGGGGUAAAAUAUUGAUUGCCUUAAAACUUACAUGUGUGAGCAAGUCUUGUGCACCAUCUGACUCUUCGAAGCUGCUAUUCUUCCUACCACUUAUAAUCUCAAGAACUAACACUCCGAAGCUAUAGACAUCAGAUUUCAUUGAGAAUUGGCCAUGCAUUGCAUAUUCGGGAGCCAUGUAACCGCUGGAAUCCACAACAAAACUUUAGUAUGUUAACAAAAUAAUGUUCAACAUAUAUUAACUUAUGAGAUGUUAAGUGGAAGACUUACUAGGUACCAACUAUUCUGCUUGUGUUAUCCUGGGUUUGGUCCAAUCCGAAGAUCCUAGCCAUUCCAAAAUCUGCAAUUUUUGGAUUUAUAUCCGCAUCUAGGAGAAUGUUACUUGCUUUAAGGUCACGGUGUAUGAUUGUGAGCUGCGAAUCUUGAUGAAGAUAUAGAAUCCCCCGAGCAAUUCCUCCAAUGAUCUUGUAUCGUAGAGUCCAGUUCAGCUGAAUUUGCUUUGUAGGGUCUGUGCAUAUCCAUUGAUUAUAGUUAAUUCUAAGAUCAGCAACCCAAAGUUCAAGAAUGGUUAAAGAAUCAUUGAAACAAAGCAAUAAAUGCAACUGACCAAAGAGUAAGUAAUCAAGGCUUUUGUUGGACAUAUACUCGUAGACCAAUAGUCUUUCUUCUCCUUGUAGCGAAAACCCAAGAAGCCUAACCAAAUUUCUGUGCUGAAGCUUUGCAACUACAACAACCUCGGUCUUGAACUCUGCUUCGCCUUGUCUUGAAUUUUUCGACAAUCUCUUCACCGCAACUUCUUUCCCAUUUGAAAAUGUGCCCUAUCCAUUUAAAAGUUUUAAUCAGCAUCAUCUUGUAAUCCAAUGUGUUGACACAAAGUACUCAACCUAGGGUGCAGCUAAAUAAUUCAUAGUAACAUAUUAUACCUUGUAAACCUCACCAAAACCACCUCGACCAAUCUUAUUACUCUCUGCAAAAUCAUUUGUUGCACUUUGGAUUGUUCUAUAGUCGAGCUGUAGUGAGUCUGCGGUUGUUAUAUCAUCUCCUCCUUCACAAUAAAUGUUUUAGUAAUCAGCUAAAGAGGCUGAUGAAAAUGACCACUAAUCAAACUCAGUUAAGAUUGUUUAUUAAAUCUUUACCCUCAGAUGCAGGUGCUGUGUCAAAAGACUUCUUUUUCCUUUUUGCAAGGAAACAAUAACCAGCUAUGAAAAGCAGAACAGCCACUAUGAUAGGCACAACAAUGGCUACCACUAACACGUUUGAAUUCCUACCUGUCCCUGUUAUUUCAAACAUCAAUGGCAAGCAGAAGUAUAAAAAAUAUAUAAUCAAUCGAAAGGACAAAAGUUUCCCUGUUGGUACUACUAAUUUCAAGAAAUCAGGGGAAAAAAACAGAGGAAGGAGAAAGAGUUCACCAGGUAAUGAAGGAGAUGCCAUUGGAGGAGUAGACACCAACGACUCCAGCGGUGGUGGUGCUUCAAUGACGCUUUCGUUGUAGAACGGGUAAAGCUCGUACCUUGAGUUACAGCUUGGCCAGAGAAGUCUUCCUCCGAUUCUGUAAAGAGGCAUUCCAUUGAUGGAGUAUUGCAGACAGGCCAAGCAGUCUUGUCUUCUAAGAUCAGGAGUGCAUUGAACCAGUACGUGCAAACUCCGGAGUGCGGUCCAGUUGGCCCUUAUUGUAUAGAACUUCCUAGAAUUAUUCACUGCCUCCUCGGCAGCUUGGUUCAUCGUGGACGAUACAAAAUCUCCGAAUCGGUCUUCUAGUUGAGAUGAAAUAUUAUUGGGGUUCGUCAUGAUGAAUCCUCCAUGGUAUAUAAGGGUCGAUAGAAUAUUCUUGUGAGAGUAUCUGAGCAUGCACUCCUCGUAAUAGAACACAGCUUCUCUCUGAUUUGGACACCGAGUUAACGUUUCGUUAACGGAGAAGGCGAUGCAGUUACGGCAAACUUCGGGCGAGAGGUCUCCGCGGCAAAGGAAAAGUCCAGUGACCCUGUCGGGGGCUUGUCCCACCUUGGCGUUUUGGAAUCCGGUGGAGUAAGAGGCAUUGGGGGAGGAGAGAGACGAUAAAAGGGUUUUGAGAUUGGUGAAGUAAGUGCUGUUCCUUGAGUAAGUUGUCGUAUUUGGACAAUGAUCGUAUGUGAAAGUAGGCUUCUGAGCAGAAGCUUUGAAGCUAGUGAGGAGGGAGAAAAGGAAAAGGAGUAUGAAAGCGGCGUAAAGAGGCAUGGCUAGACUUCCCUGAUUUGGGUUUCAAAUCAUGGAGCUCCCAUUUAUAACUUCUAUUCUCCACUACUGUAGAUUAACGUGAAGUAGAGGAUGGUUUGUGACGACCUUAAGUCUGUCAAAGUCAUAGUAAACGCCUCUUUUAUUUAUUUUCUUUCCUUGUAUUGCAUGCCAAAUUUAUAGUUUUACUUACCGGAGAAUGAUGACAAAAAAAAAGUUGUGUACACUGUUAAAUAUUCUUCGACAGUAUGUUUUGUUGGAACAGAGAUGUGCUAGGUAAGUACUUGUCUUGCGCAAGAAGCUAUGGAGUUUGUGAGAUGAUAAUGAUGCAAGUAGGCAUGUUUCAGUACCUUGUUUCCCAAAAUGACUCUGAAAAUCUAAUACACAUGCAGUUGUAAAGUAAACAAGGUAAAGUACUAAAAAAAGUACUUUAAUAGGAACUCAACGCGAGUAUCUUAAGCAGUAAGUCAACCUUCUACCGAGAGUGUUAAUUGGUUAUAUAAAUCCGUUAAGGCUAGAAACUUGUUGAUGUGUAGACUGUAGACUCCAACAAAUAUGUCAAUGAAGGUCUCAAGGAAGAAAGAAGAAUUUCUUAGGGCAAUUUUACAGGGAUACGAACGAAAUGGGUUACACGUUUUUGUCUACCAAACAGAAUCAGUCCACUUCGUCUAAGCCGAGCAGGGCUGAUCUUUGGAUGAGUGGGUGUUUUAGACAGGUGGGAUUGAUGACGUAUAUUAGUAUUACUUACUACGUCUGUCAGCGGAAAAUUCGGGAGCCUUUUUCUUUAAGUUUCUUCUCUGUAUUUUUAUAGGGGAGAUGGUCAGUUACCCUUUUAAACUGAUGAGGUGGAUUGGGCUGAUUCUAUCUCUUUUGAUGGAUUUAGGCAGAGCCUGUUUGUAUGGCGCAGCCCACACCCAACAAAACUGAAUAGAACUAGGGUUGGGAAAUUACUGUUUUAACUUAUAACUGUUGGUUUGUUACUUGUCAGGUACGGAAGUUUAACGGUGCUCUCUUAUUGACCUAAAGUCUCCGCGGCUAGCUGAAUAAUCACCAACCUAUUAAAUAUCCAACUCCAAUAUGUUUAUCUUUUUCCGGAAAUAGAUUGAUAGAAUAGUUAAAAAUUUCUAAUUAUAUUUUCUCUGGUUUUCGCUUUCACAUGUUUAUUCUAACAUUUAUAUAGUUGAUUCAUUUUAAUUAACAAUACAAGUUGAUGUUACUCGUCUAGUUGACCUUGACUUGCAAGAAAUUGUAUUAUUUUACAAAACCAAAACUUGACUGGCUUGGCUGGUUUCACAUUCAUUCAUUAGUAGAACUCAUAAACCAAUCAUUAAAAGCAAGAACAAAAAAAUACAGAGCGGAAAGGUGAAGAAAUUGGAUAAUGUCUGCUUAUGCCUCAUUAAACUCUCUCUUCCUUCUCACCUUCUUCAUUGCAAGCUUGAGAGCUUCUGCACUAUUACAAGACCCAACUUACGUUGGCGAUGUUUGCACUAACAGGAUAUCAAGAAACUCCACUUACUUCUCAAAUCUCCAAACCCUUUUGACCUCUCUUUCUUCUAACAAUGCUUACUUUUCUUUGGGAUCUCAUAGUCUCACAAAGGGUCAAAACUCCGACAUGGUGUUCGGUCUUUACCUCUGCAAAGGAGAUCUCUCGCCCGAAGCUUGCCGUGACUGCGUCAUCUUUGCUACUAAAGACACUCGGAGUCGAUGUCCAGGUGGGAAAGAGUUCUUGAUUCAGUAUGACGAGUGCAUGCUUGGAUACUCAGACAGGAAUAUAUUCAUGGAUACUGUAACCACAACUACAAUAAUCACUUGGAACACUCAGAAUGUUACGGUGGAACAAUCCGACCGGUUCAAUGAUGCAGUGGUUUCUCUGAUGAAAAAGUCUGCAGAGGAAGCGGCUAAUAGUACAAGCAAGAAAUUCGCGGUUGAGAAGUCGGAUUUCAGUUCGUCUCAGUCGCUUUAUGCAUCGGUUCAGUGCAUUCCUGAUCUGACUAGUGAAGAUUGCGUAAGGUGUCUUCAACAAUCCAUCAAAGAAUUAUAUUUCAAUAAAGUCGGAGGAAGAUUUCUUGUCCCGAGUUGUAACUCAAGGUACGAGCUUUACCCUUUCUACAAGGAAACCGUAGAGGGAACUGUUCUUCCUCCGCCUGUUUCGUCUCCUCCACUGCCACCGGUUUUAACUCCUCCAUUUCCGCCUGGUAAGAGCUCUGUCUUAUUCACUUACAUAUAUAAUAGUUAUUUUGGUUUGAGACAUUCAAAAGUUGGGAAAUUAUAUGUCAUGUCUAAUAUAAGACUUAUGCAGGAAAAGGCAAAAAUUCCAAAGUGAUAAUCAUAGCAGUUGUUGUGCCGGUGGCUAUAUGUGUUCUUCUUUUUGUGGCUGUUUUUAGUUUCCAUGUAAGAAAGAGAGCGAAGAAGCCUUCUGAUACAGAAGUUGCAAAUGAUGGUAAAGAUUCCAAAAUCUAUGUUUGUGUUGCUUAAACUUUUAUGGAUUUCAAUUCUUAAAUCUUUUGCAGGAGAGGAUGACAUUACAACUGCAGGAUCACUGCAGUUUGAUUUUAAGGUUAUUGAAGCUGCGACAGAUAAGUUUUCGAUGUGUAACAAACUCGGUCAAGGUGGAUUUGGACAAGUUUACAAGGUACCACUACCAGUUCAUUGAGCUUCCUAAUUACUUGCAUAAAAGAUUCAAAUAAGGGGAUGGCUCUGUUUAAUUUACUAUCUUUUAAGGGCAUACUUUCUAAUGGAGUACAAGUUGCCGUGAAGAGACUAUCGAAAACAUCAGGACAAGGUGAAAAAGAGUUCAAGAACGAAGUUGUUGUUGUGGCAAAGCUUCAGCACAGAAAUCUUGUCAAGCUUCUUGGAUUUUGUUUAGAGAGGGAAGAGAAAAUACUUGUCUACGAGUUUGUGUCUAAUAAAAGUCUUGAUUACUUCUUGUUUGGUAAGUUUUAGCUUAGGAAAGAUAUUUCAUUUUGGAACUCAUGUUUUAGACAUUCUAAUUAUAUGGAUGUGCAGAUUCUAGAAUGCAGAGCCAGCUAGAUUGGACUACAAGGUAUAAGAUCAUAGGAGGAAUUGCUAGAGGAAUAUUGUAUCUCCAUCAAGAUUCACGACUCACAAUCAUACAUCGAGACCUAAAAGCGGGUAACAUCCUCUUGGACGCUGAUAUGAACCCAAAAGUUGCAGAUUUUGGAAUGGCGAGGAUUUUCGAAAUGGACCAAACAGAAGCCCAUACGAGAAGAGUAGUCGGAACCUAGUAAGUUUUGGUCUUGCCAUCUAUUAAAUAUAAAAAUCCCCUAUUAACUCCAACAUAUAUGUAUUGUGGCAGUG
rnacentral:lncRNA from 1 species